rnacentral:rRNA from 1 species
UACGUAGGGGGGCAAGCGUUGUCCGGAUUUAUUGGGCGUAAAGAGCGUGUAGGCGGCCUUACAGGUCAGCUGUGAAAACUCGAGGCUCAACCUCGAGACGUCGGUUGAAACCGUAUGGCUAGAGUCCGGAAGAGGAGAGUGGAAUUCCCGGUGUAGCGGUGAAAUGCGCAGAUAUCGGGGAAGAACACCCGUGGCGAAGGCGGCACUCUGGGACGGUACUGACGGCUGAGGAGCGAAAAGCAUUGGGGGAGCCGAACAGG